AACGAACGCUGGCGGCAGGCCUAACACAUGCAAGUCGAGCGCGCCCUUCGGGGUGAGCGGCGGACGGGUGAGUAACGCGUGGGAACGUGCCCUUUUCUACGGAAUAGCCUCGGGAAACUGAGAGUAAUACCGUAUACGCCCUUUGGGGGAAAGAUUUAUCGGAAAAGGAUCGGCCCGCGUUGGAUUAGGUAGUUGGUGGGGUAAUGGCCUACCAAGCCGACGAUCCAUAGCUGGUUUGAGAGGAUGAUCAGCCACACUGGGACUGAGACACGGCCCAGACUCCUACGGGAGGCAGCAGUGGGGAAUCUUAGUCAAUGGGGGCAACCCUGAUCUAGCCAUGCCGCGUGAGUGAUGAAGGCCUUAGGGUUGUAAAGCUCUUUCAGCUGGGAAGAUAAUGACGGUACCAGCAGAAGAAGCCCCGGCUAACUCCGUG
rnacentral:rRNA from 1 species